rnacentral:rRNA from 1 species
ACUCUCCACGAUAUCUUUCACUUUUAUUUAUAUUUUAUAUACCACCAUCUUUUAGGAUUAAUAUAAAUAUUCUUUCCUUAAUAGAAACUUCUCAUAAGUUAGGUAAAGGUGUAGACUAUAUAAAAGAUAAGAUGGGUUACAUUAAGAAAUA